AAGCUCGUAGUUGAAUUUCGGGAUCAGUAUGUUGGUCGUGCUUAGGUACGUACUGUCAUUACUGGUUUCUCUCUUCUGAAGAACCUUGAUGUCAUUAAUUUGGUGUCUUGGGGAAUCAGGACUGUUACUUUGAAAAAAUUAGAGUGUUUAAAGCAGGCAUACGCUUGAAUACAUUAGCAUGGAAUAAUGAAAUAGGACGUUUGAUUCUAUUUUGUUGGUUUCUAGGACCGACGUAAUGAUUAAUAGGGAUAGUUGGG
rnacentral:rRNA from 1 species